rnacentral:lncRNA from 1 species
AUUAGUACCGAUGAGUGAAUUGAUAAACGAGCAAUGUACUGUCGUUUGGUGCACAUGUAUCUGACGCACUGUAAUAUGUACUGGCGAGUAAAUUUAGUACAAAAGAACCAAGUGCCCCUAUAAAUUACAUGUACAAAAGAAACAAAAUAUAUUAGGCAAAAAUUGAGAAAGAAAAUGUGAGUGGUAAAGAAAAACUCAAUGCGUGAUGCAUAGGGAGAGAGAGAG